rnacentral:rRNA from 1 species
UACGGAGGGUGCAAGCGUUAUCCGGAUUCACUGGGUUUGAAGGGUGCGUAGGUGGGCAAGUAAGUCAGUGGUGAAAUCUCCGGGCUUAACCCGGAAACUGCCAUUGAUACUAUUUGUCUUGAAUACUGUGGAGGUCAGCGGAGUAUGUCAUGUAGCGGUGAAAUGCUUAGAUAUGACAUAGAACACCAAUUGCGAAGGCAGCUGGCUACACAAAUAUUGACACUGAGGCACGAAAGCGUGGGGAUCAAACAGG